ACCGUGAACCGCAAGAAUCGCUGGAAACAGAGCAGCUAUUGCGCCACCAAGGCUGUGACCCGUCAAGAUAAAUUUAGAGUUUUUGUCUAUGGCAAGCAUGUCCCUAAGCUUCUGUCUGAUAGUAUAGUAAGCAUAUUGGUGUAUGAGACUUAUAUUUUCUUUGGGCCAUCCGUUUUUUUGUAGGCCUAGAGCUCUGGAGAACCCAGCAUGAAUUUUGCCAACGUUCUUCAUUUCGUACCAAGAGACGUCGAGAUCAGUGCACCAAUCAUCUGCAUCGAAAGGCUCGGUUCCUCUGAAACUGACGACGAUGAGAUUCGGGUUUGUGCUCGACGCCUUGAAUACGAAGGCUUGUGUCAGGUUUCUUUCUUGGUAAGCUACAAAUAUAACAGAAUUUAGAGAAAUCUUUACAGAUGUUAAUUAGAUUUAUGUUUUUUAGAAAGAACAAACAAAUCUAAGUAACAUUAUUUCAAGAUUCUAAUAUAAAAUUUAUAUUGUAAAAAGGCGUACGUUGUAAGAAAUAUUGUUUUAAAAAAUGGGAUUCUUAUAGUUGUUAUGAACAGAGUACAUGGGAUCAAAAAUUAUUUGUGGGUUGAUGUUAACAUAUAUUUCCUCUGUUUAUAUAUAACUUUGUUAUUUAAUUUUUUUGUUAUUUAUUGAAAAUAUAAAAAAUUGUUUUUAAGUGAUUUAUCACGAUCUAUUAAGUUAUAUGUUUUUGAAAUGUCGACAAAAAAAAUAUUUUUGAAAUAUGUAAAACCAAACUAUCAAGCAAGACUCUGCUCAAUAACUCAUUUGAUGUAAAAAGCUUUUAAAAGAAAAAUUAUAUCCAAUCCAAUUUUUAAUGUUUU